rnacentral:tRNA from 1 species
GGGGUUGUGGCUCAGUGGCAGAGUGCUCACCUAGUGCAGGUGAGGCACUGGGUUUGAGCCUCAGCCCCA